rnacentral:rRNA from 1 species
UACAGAGGUCUCAAGCGUUGUUCGGAUUCAUUGGGCGUAAAGGGUGCGUAGGUGGCGAUGUAAGUUUGGUGUGAAAUUUCAGGGCUUAACCUUGAAACUGCAUUGAAUACUGCGUUGCUUGAGGAUUGUAGAGGAGAGUGGAAUUCACGGUGUAGCAGUGAAAUGCGUAGAUAUCGUGAGGAAGACCAGUUGCGAAGGCGACUCUCUGGGCAAUUCCUGACACUGAGGCACGAAGGCCAGGGGAGCAAACGGG